rnacentral:rRNA from 1 species
GACGAGCGCUGGCGGCGUGCUUAACACAUGCAAGUCGAACGGAAAGGCCCUGCUUGCAGAGUACUCGAGUGGCGAACGGGUGAGUAACACGUGGGUGAUCUGCCCUGCACUUCGGGAUAAGCUUGGGAAACUGGGUCUAAUACCGGAUAGGACCGCACUUUAGUGUGUGUGGUGGAAAGUUUUUUCGGUGUAGGAUGAGCUCGCGGCCUAUCAGCUUGUUGGUGGGGUAAUGGCCUACCAAGGCGGCAACGGGUAGCCGGCCUGAGAGGGUGUACGGCCACAUUGGGACUGAGAUACGGCCCAGACUCCUACGGGAGGCAGCAGUGGGGAAUAUUGCACAAUGGGCGCAAGCCUGAUGCAGCGACGCCGCGUGGGGGAUGAAGGCCUUCGGGUUGUAAACUCCUUUCGCUAGGGACGAAGCUUUUUGUGACGGUACCUAGAGAAGAAGCACCGGCUAACUACGUG